rnacentral:rRNA from 1 species
AGCAGCCGCGGUAAUUCCAGCUCCAAUAACGUAUAUUAAAGUUGUUGCAGUUAAAAAGCUCGUAGUUGAACUUCGGGGUCUACCCAUUGGUCAGGCUUAAUUGUCUGCACUGGUGAGAUGGAUCUCUACCUUCUGAGGAACUUUCAUGCCAUUUAUUUGGUGUGGUUGGAAAUCAGGACUGUUACUUUGAAAAAAUUAGAGUGUUUAAAGCAGACUAUCGUCUGAAUACAUUAGCAUGGAAUAAUGAAAUAGGACGGACUGAUUCUAUUUCGUUGGUUUCUAGGAUCACCGUAAUGAUUAAUGGGGAUAGUUGGGGGCAUUAGUAUUCAAUUGUCAGAGGUGAAAUUCUUGGAUUUAUUGAAGACUAACUACUGCGAAAGCAUUUGCCAAGGAUGUUUUCAUUAAUCAAGAACGAAAGUUAGGGGAUCGAAGACGAUCAGAUACCGUCGUAGUCUUAACCAAUAAACCUAUAGACCGACUAGGGAUCGGAUGAUGUUAAUUUUUUAAUGUACUCUACG